AGCUUCCUCAAACAAUCCCCUUGUCACGCUUAACAUAGGAACCUACAAACGUCGGAUGAGUCUUGGGAGUCCUUGGCCGUCCUUUCGCAGGAAUUGGAGCUGCGUGGCGUUGGCAAAACUUGGCAUGCAAGAUCAGCAUCACUCCGAUCAUUUGCUGACGUCCCUAGUAGAAAACCAAGUUCGGCUUUGUAUUCUUCUACUGUCAUCAGUGAU
rnacentral:lncRNA from 1 species